rnacentral:rRNA from 1 species
GACGAACGCUGGCGGCGUGCUUAACACAUGCAAGUCGAACGGAAAGGCCCUGCUUUUGUGGGGUGCUCGAGUGGCGAACGGGUGAGUAACACGUGAGUAACCUGCCCUUGACUUUGGGAUAACUUCAGGAAACUGGGGCUAAUACCGGAUAGGAGCUCCUGCUGCAUGGUGGGGGUUGGAAAGUUUCGGCGGUUGGGGAUGGACUCGCGGCUUAUCAGCUUGUUGGUGGGGUAGUGGCUUACCAAGGCUUUGACGGGUAGCCGGCCUGAGAGGGUGACCGGCCACAUUGGGACUGAGAUACGGCCCAGACUCCUACGGGAGGCAGCAGUGGGGAAUAUUGCACAAUGGGCGGAAGCCUGAUGCAGCAACGCCGCGUGCGGGAUGACGGCCUUCGGGUUGUAAACCGCUUUCGCCUGUGACGAAGCGUGAGUGACGGUAAUGGGUAAAGAAGCACCGGCUAACUACGUGCCAGCAGCCGCGGUGAUACGUAGGGUGCGAGCGUUGUCCGGAUUUAUUGGGCGUAAAGGGCUCGUAGGUGGUUGAUCGCGUCGGAAGUGUAAUCUUGGGGCUUAACCCUGAGCGUGCUUUCGAUACGGGUUGACUUGAGGAAGGUAGGGGAGAAUGGAAUUCCUGGUGGAGCGGUGGAAUGCGCAGAUAUCAGGAGGAACACCAGUGGCGAAGGCGGUUCUCUGGGCCUUUCCUGACGCUGAGGAGCGAAAGCGUGGGAGCGAACAGGCUUAGAUACCCUGGUAGUCCACGCUGUAAACGGUGGGUACUAGGUGUGGGGUCCAUUCCACGGGUUCCGUGCCGUAGCUAACGCUUUAAGUACCCCGCCUGGGGAGUACGGCCGCAAGGCUAAAACUCAAAGGAAUUGACGGGGCCCCGCACAAGCGGCGGAGCAUGCGGAUUAAUUCGAUGCAACGCGUAGAACCUUACCUGGGUUUGACAUGGAUCGGGAGUGCUCAGAGAUGGGUGUGCCUCUUUUGGGGUCGGUUCACAGGUGGUGCAUGCCUGUCGUCAGCUCGUGUCGUGAGAUGUUGGGUUAAGUCCCGCAACGAGCGCAACCCUUGUUCACUGUUGCCAGCACGUUAUGGUGGGGACUCAGUGGAGACCGCCGGGGUCAACUCGGAGGAAGGUGGGGAUGACGUCAAGUCCUCAUGCCCCUUAUGUCCAGGGCUUCACGCAUGCUACAAUGGCUGGUACAGAGAGUGGCGAGCCUGUGAGGGUGAGCGAAUCUCGGAAAGCCGGUCUCAGUUCGGAUUGGGGUCUGCAACUCGACCUCAUGAAGUCGGAGUCGCUAAUAAUCGCAGAUCAGCAACGCUGCGGUGAAUACGUUCCCGGGGCU